AUUGAACGCUGGCGGUAUGCUUAACACAUGCAAGUCGAACGGCAGCACGGUCUGUGGUAAUACAGAUGGGUGGCGAGUGGCGGACGGGUGAGUAAUACGCAGGAAUCUGCCCUAUAGAGGGGGAUAACUCGAGGAAACUCGAGCUAAUAACGCAUAGUCUCUACGGAGUAAAGCUGGGGCAACCUGGCGCUAUAGGAGGAGCCUGCGUCUGAUUAGCUAGUUGGUGGGGUAAAGGCCUAACAAGGCGACGAUCAGUAGGUGGUCUGAGAGGAUGAUCACCCACACUGGGACUGAGACACGGCCCAGACUCCUACGGGAGGCAGCAGUGGGGAAUAUUGGACAAUGGGGGCAACCCUGAUCCAGCAAUACCGCGUGUGUGAAGAAGGCCUUAGGGUUGUAAAGCACUUUAGGCGGGGAAGAAGGUAUGUAUUUUAAGAGAUAACAUAUUUGACGGUACCCGCAGAAUAAGCACCGGCUAACUCUGUGCCAGCCGCCGCCGUAA
rnacentral:rRNA from 1 species